rnacentral:rRNA from 1 species
ACAACUUUCAACAACGGAUCUCUUGGUUCUGGCAUCGAUGAAGAACGCAGCGAAAUGCGAUAAGUAGUGUGAAUUGCAGAAUUCAGUGAAUCAUCGAAUUUUUGAACGCACAUUGCGCCCCUUGGUAUUCCAUGGGGCAUGCCUGUUCGAGCGUCAUU